rnacentral:misc_RNA from 1 species
GACCUCUCAACCGCUUUGGUAUUCGAUUACAAAAGUCGGCUUGGAACUUGGGUGCCUCUGGCGAAACGCAAAAGGUCUUUGCGGACCUGUCGCCCACCCCAAAGUCAGUUGGGCCAACCGCGCGGAUGAGCGGACGGUUUGACCACAGUGUUGUAAGGUUCGCCUCACUGUCGGGACGUCCAUUUCCGUCGCUAUCAGGCAUUUGAAAUACGAUACUAUUGA